CAGAGCCUGAUGUUGGACUCGAUCCCGUGAACUGUGAGAUCAUGACCUGAGCUGAAAUCAAGAGUCAGGUGCUCAACCGACUGAGCCACCCAGGCGCCUGAAGUUCUGUUUUUUAAGUCUGAUGUUACCUCUAUAUCAUUUACCUACAUUGUAGCUGGGGAUGUACUCCAUUAUUCCUAAGAAUACCAUAGAUAGUGAUAGUCAUACCCCAUUUCUGGAAGAAUUUUUAGCUGGGCAUGUGGCCAUCCAAAGUAAAUUUCCCAGCCUUCUUUGAAGAUAAGUGCAUGUGCCCAAUGGCCCUGCCAUCCUAAGUAGAAAUAACGUGUCCAGCUUCCAGGUUGUAACCUUAAAAGGAGAGGGGCGUGUCUUCCAGCUCCUCUCUUCGCCGGUCCCUCUGGCUGGAAUGUGAAAUUCCAGCUAUCCCAGGCCAUAUGGAUGAGGCUGCAGGCCGGGGCUGGCAGAGCCAUGAGGCAGAUGUGGCCUGGGCCUGGCACCAAACACUGGACAGCUUCACUUGGACUGCUGACAUCAGAGAGAAGUUUCCCUCUGGGACUAGUUACAGACUCUGAAUCCAUCCCCUAAUUCCGACACCCAGCCCUGAGCAGUCAGAAAUGAAAGGGCUGGAAGCAUCAUCCCGGGGUCAGUGGCCUGGUGGUAAAAAAUGUGAUCGAGUCACCUCAUUUGUAGAACAAAUGACAGUACUUUGGCUGUCACAGUGAUUCCUGUUUAGUAAAUGGGAACAGUUCAAGAAGUGCUCUUUCCUCAUCACCAUCCGAGUCCUCAUUUCCGUACUUCAAGUAGAGGCAGGGAUCAAAAGCUCUGGACUUGGCGCCAGACAACCUUGAGUUUGAAACUUCAGCCCCGUCACUGACUGUCUGACUACUGUCCCCAUACCUAUGUCAUAAGGCCAUUAUGAAGAUGUAGUGAGAUAAGAUGCACAGAACAUGGCCAGAGGAAGCACCAAAUCAGAGUCCUACACUAUUGUUUGUGUGUAGGACUUUUUCCCUAGCAACCGACAGAAACCUAAUUGAAGCUGGCUUUCACGUUUUGUGAUCUCUAAGCAGCAUCCUGGGCACUAUUGGGCUUUGCAGCUCGUUAAGAGAAGCCACCACCAAAUCGUGUUCCUGCAGCAUUUCCGGGUAGCGGGACACCGCUCGCUCAAUCCUCGCCGACCGGCGCACAGGAGUGAUCAGCUUCAUGUCAUGCACUUCUGCUAUUCCACUUAUCCUGUGAGACAGAAAGAGCUAGGGAGGUUGCCCCUGCUUGGCACUCGGUGUCCCCUCCCCGUGGGGCUGGGAGGAAAGGGACGUCGGAUCUGUAAGUGCAGGACAGAUGAGGGUGAAGAGAGAAAGACAAGACUUUUCAGAUUCCGUUUUAUUGGCCAGCUCUUCUAUUGACGUUAUAUUCAUCUCAGCAACUGAAGAGUCAGAGGUAACUCCUGUGUAUGCAAGGUCAAGAAGGAAAGUGAGGUUUAGCAAGUUAAUACUGAAACUAAAAGUCAAUAAAAUGACAAAUCAAUAUAUACAAUGAUUUCUCAAUUAAAAUAAAGAGGAACUGAUUUGAAAUGGGA